rnacentral:rRNA from 1 species
AUUGAACGCUGGCGGCAUGCUUUACACAUGCAAGUCGAACGGCAGCACGGGGGCAACCCUGGUGGCGAGUGGCGAACGGGUGAGUAAUGCAUCGGAACGUGCCCUGUCGUGGGGGAUAACACAUCGAAAGAUGUGCUAAUACCGCAUACGACCUGAGGGUGAAAGCGGGGGACCGUAAGGCCUCGCGCGAUAGGAGCGGCCGAUGUCUGAUUAGCUAGUUGGUGGGGUAAAGGCCUACCAAGGCGACGAUCAGUAGCUGGUCUGAGAGGACGACCAGCCACACUGGGACUGAGAAACGGCCCAGACGCCUACGGGAGGCAGCAGUGGGGAAUUUUGGACAAUGGGGGCAACCCUGAUCCAGCCAUGCCGCGUGCGGGAAGAAGGCCUUCGGGUUGUAAACCGCUUUUGGCAGGAACGAAACGGUGCGGGCGAAUACCCUGUGCUAAUGACGGUACCUGCAGAAUAAGCACCGGCUAACUACGUGCCAGCCGCCGCAGUAAUAC